rnacentral:tRNA from 1 species
GCCUGGGUAGCUCAGUUGGUUAAGCGCCUGACUUCGGCUCAGGUCACGAUCUCACGGUCUGUGAGUUCGAGCCCCGCGUCGGGCU